CCAAAAACAUAAACAUAACCUCUGACUCAACAUCUGGUGAAUUAAAUAAUAUUUAUCAGCCUAAACAAUGUCUAAUUUAACGGAAGAUGAUUACUGGAAAGAAAGUAGACUCUCCGGAUUUUCGUUCGACGAUGAUGUCAAAGAGGAAACUGUUGAUUACAGUGAUGACACAAACGAAACAUUGUUUUACAACUCCUUGCAUAAUACAACAACACUCCCAAUACAUUCUGUUAUUUCAAAAAAGGGAUUAGAUUGCAUUUUGCAAGAUACAAAACUUGCAGCCCGACACAGUGCCCCUGUUGUGGAGGAAACUAUUAAAAAAUUAUUCCUUGGCGUUCCUUGCGUUCUUGACCAUUAUAGAGAUUUAGAACAAAAGCUUGAGCUCCUUCAAAAAGCUUGUGAGACUUUUGAUGGUAAUGUUAUAUUAAAGGUUGUUUUAUUUUUGAGAAGAACUCUUAAUGACACAAACUUUCAUUACCACAUUUCCAAGCAUAAAAUAGCUUUAAAUCAAUACACAAAUUAUUUGAUUAGUCAAUAUAAAUUCCCGGAAUUACACACUGUUUAUAUGGCCACCGGAAGCACAAACGAAUUGAUAAACACUUUUUAUUUGCCAGCGAGAAAUUACACAAGUAUAAGAAAAACCAAAGAAGAGAUAGGCAACUUUUUUAACAGCCUUGGUAGUAUAGUUUCAGCGUUUAAUAAAACCACCUUAACCCAAUACCAAACCUUCUUAGAUUAUUUAAUAAAAUACAACCUAACAUCAGAUAGUCCGAUUGAGUGCUUAUUAAAUUUAUUUAAAGAAAAUGUACAGAAUAAAGUUUCAUCGCAAGAUAUCGUUUUGUAUUGCAACAGUUUAAAAAUUGACACAAUUCAACAACAUUGGAUAAAAAUAAACGUUUUGGUGACGUCUGAUUUGUGGGAAAAAUUAUUGCAGGAAUUCGUUAAACCGAACGCUUUUAUGAAAAAAAUUAAAUGCGAUGUUGAUGUAGACACUUUAGUCACCGCUUUACACCAACACGGGGCUCCUAAACACAUUUUGUGCCAAUUUCUACAAGGUAUGAGUGACGCAGAUCGCGGAAUGCAUCUUGGAAAGAAAUAUCAGUGUCACAAAUUUGUUAUUGAGAAAUUGGUAGAAAAUCGCGAUAGGGAAGCUUUAAUUGAGUACAAAAAAUGUAUUCCUGCCCAAAGUGAAGAGUAUUUUUAUUUGGAAAAAGAGUUAUUAUCGGAUAAAAAAUGGAAAACAAAACGAAGGAGUAUGAUUUGAUGUAAAAUUCCUGUUUUAAUUAGUGUUGGUGGUAAUAGAUGGCGUUAUGUGCUUUUAAGUGUACGGUGAUCGUUGAAAUCCCCGAGAUCGCAAUACAGAGUAAUGGAGACAGAUGGUGUGGUGAGCAUUGGUGGAUGUGUAAAAGGGAUGAGAAGGUCGCAUAAGAAGAGUGGCCCAUUAAAGGUGGUUAUUUUCGGGCGGAAUUGGCCAUUGUUUAUUGAAAUUGAAGGCAGCAAUAUUAAGUCAAUCAACGUCGACGCGCCGCGGACGAGGGCACCGCGACAAAAUCCCCCAUUGAUUGGACUGUCAAUUAACUCUCCCCGGGACAUGUAUACGUGCCUGCAAACACGUCUUAUCUGAUACAUACGUCAGCGUCGCGCUUGAUGAAAUGUUUAUAGAUCGGCGAGGAAUAUGUGUCUAACUGGUGUCAUUAACUUUCAAUUAAGUGAGGACCUUUUAUUAAGGCACUUUUUACGCAUCGGCUGGUGCACAUAAAUUUCCUACCGCAGUCUGCCGACAACACACGUACUGCGGCCCGGAACAGGACGGAACGGGCCGCAAAGACGGGCCUGGGACGGCAGAGACGCCACAGACGCCCGAUCCACGCUUUAUGCAAAGGAGAUCCAGGCCUCCUCACCGCACGUUUUAUUAUUUCUGUCUCCCGCGAUACGUCACUCCACGCCAGCCGACGGAAAAAAAGCACCGUGAUUGAUAUACUAUUAACUCGACUUUUAUUUUCUGCCCCGACCGCCGACCUGUGCACAUCUCUUCUCUUCACCGUGCAGAUCUGCGAACGCGGCAAUACGUCUAACUUAACGCCCAUUUCCAACGCGGUUAAAACAUUUCUCUCAAAUCUAUCACGGUCUACCUACAUUUUCAAUCAUAUUUUAGUUAUUUUCAUUUCAUCAAUCAAAUUACAUACAUAAAAUAAUAAAUUUAACUAACGACAUGUAAAUUUUAUGGUUUUAACACAUUUUUUUAGAAAGCAAACAAGGAUAUUAUUAAGUAAGCAAUUAAAGUAAAUUCUUCCGGAAUAUAGAAAUGUAAGUACGCAUAAAAUUAUAUAGUGCAUCUAAAUUUCCGUAUGAAUAUCAAGGACAGGUUCGACAAACGAGGACCGGCGGUACUUAGUUCUGGCACCAUUGUGGUUCCCAUGCCGUUUAUAAUUAUCCAAGCAUUAUUCUGGCUAAUUACCCGCCCACAGGCGCGCGCCGUAGCACAGACUUGCGCAGAGAAGGUUCCGAUCAUUAAUAUCAAGCGACCCCUUCCGAAGUGGGGCCUCGCGAUAAUUAUCAAUUAAUAAAUUUACGACGCGUAUGAUGUACGGGAGUAAUUUGUAUUCCGCUUCGCGCUAAUGAAUCACUCGGAAACGUGCGGUAACAGGGCGCAUGAUCGGGUAGCGACAGCGCAAUCGCCGAAACGGUUCCUUUUCGAAACUAGUCGACUUUCGUAGGAACGGGUCCAUCAAUCUUCCUUUUAUACGCGCAAAUCCCGCACUGACAACGAGUGCCCUGUAAUUUUCGUAGACAGUGGACAAUAAAUUCAUAAAUCACGGACUCUGACAGAGCGGUGGCGGACGACGCCAAGCCUCAUUUUUUCUAUGAGUUCGAUUUCUUUCGUGUCCUCACUAAUUGUUUAGCAUUUCCAUGCUAACUGACUUAUGUAAACAGAUCAAAUUAUAAAUUAUCGUUUCGGUAACAACUUGGCCAUCGACUUAGAACUCGUAUCAAGUUGCCGAGUUCUUAUUUAAACUUAAUCUUAAUCGAAUUGAUACAAACCUUGUUG